UACGUAGGGGGCAAGCGUUGUCCGGAUUUAUUGGGCGUAAAGAGCGUGUAGGCGGCUUGGUAGGUCCGCUGUAAAAGUCCAGGGCUCAACCCUGGAAUGCCGGUGGAUACUGUCGGGCUAGAGUCCGGAAGAGGCGAGUGGAAUUCCUGGUGUAGCGGUGGAAUGCGCAGAUAUCAGGGGGAACACCGAUAGCGAAGGCAGCUCGCUGGGACGGUACUGACGCUGAGGCGCGAAAGCGUGGGGAGCGAACAGG
rnacentral:rRNA from 1 species